UACAGAGGGGGCUUGCGUUGUUCGGAAUUACUGGGCGUAAAGGGCGCGUAGGUGGCCUGUUAAGUCGAACGUGAAAUCCCCGGGCUCAACCCGGGAACUGCGUCCGAGACUGGCAGGCUCGAAUCCGGGAGAGGGAUGUGGAAUUCCAGGUGUAGCGGUGAAAUGCGUAGAUAUCUGGAGGAACACCGGUGGCGAAGGCGGCAUCCUGGACCGGUAUUGACGCUGAGGCGCGAAAGCCAGGGGAGCAAACGGG
rnacentral:rRNA from 1 species